CUCUUUCUCUCUACAGCUUCUUUGCUUAUAUGCAGAGCAACAACUAUGGAUAUUUUAGCACUUGAUGAUAUAAUCCAUCGUUUGCUUGAAGUUCGUGGGAGACCUGGUAAACAAGUACAACUUUCUGAGGCAGAAAUCAGACAGCUAUGUCUCAAGUCGAGAGAAAUUUUCUUGAAGCAGCCGAAUCUUCUUGAGCUUGAUGCACCCAUCAAGAUCUGCGGGGAUAUCCAUGGUCAGUACUCAGAUCUACUGAGGCUGUUUGAAUAUGG
rnacentral:misc_RNA from 1 species